rnacentral:rRNA from 1 species
AGAGUUUGAUCAUGGCUCAGAUUGAACGCUGGCGGCAUGCUUUACACAUGCAAGUCGAACGCGCCAGGGGGCAACUCCUGGUGAGUGGCGAACGGGUGAGUAAUACAUCGGAACGUGCCCUUUAGUGGGGGAUAGCUCGGCGAAAGCCGGAUUAAUACCGCAUACGACCUACGGGUGAAAGCAGGGGAUCGCAAGACCUUGCGCUAGUGGAGCGGCCGAUGCCCGAUUAGCUAGUUGGUGAGGUAAAGGCUCACCAAGGCGACGAUCGGUAGCUGGUCUGAGAGGACGACCAGCCACACUGGGACUGAGACACGGCCCAGACUCCUACGGGAGGCAGCAGUGGGGAAUUUUGGACAAUGGGCGAAAGCCUGAUCCAGCCAUGCCGCGUGCGGGAAGAAGGCCUUCGGGUUGUAAACCGCUUUUGGCAGGAACGAAACGGCGAUUCCUAAUACGGGUCGCUAAUGACGGUACCUGCAGAAUAAGCACCGGCUAACUACGUGCCAGCAGCCGCGGUAAUACGUAGGGUGCGAGCGUUAAUCGGAAUUACUGGGCGUAAAGCGUGCGCAGGCGGCUUUUUAAGCCAGAUGUGAAAUCCCCGGGCUUAACCUGGGAACUGCAUUUGGAACUGGAAGGCUAGAGUGUAGCAGAGGGGGGUAGAAUUCCACGUGUAGCAGCGAAAUGCGUAGAGAUGUGGAGGAAUACCGAUGGCGAAGGC